AUUCUAGCGGCGGACGGGUGAGUAACGCGUGAGCAAUCUGUCCCAUACAGGGGGAUAACACUUGGAAACAGGUGCUAAUACCGCACAAGACCACGAGGUGGCAUCAUCUUGGGGUAAAAGAGAUAUCGGUAUGGGGUGAGCUCGCGUCUGAUUAGCUAGUUGGUGAGGUAACGGCCCACCAAGGCGACGAUCAGUAGCCGACCUGAGAGGGUGAUCGGCCACAUUGGAACUGAGACACGGUCCAGACUCCUACGGGAGGCAGCAGUGGGGAAUAUUGGGCAAUGGGCGCAAGCCUGACCCAGCAACGCCGCGUGAAGGAAGAAGGUUUUCGGAUUGUAAACUUCUGUCCUUGGUGACGAAGGAAGUGACGGUAGCCAAGGAGGAAGCCCCGGCUAACUACGUGCCAGC
rnacentral:rRNA from 1 species